rnacentral:rRNA from 1 species
AGAGUUUGAUCAUGGCUCAGGAUGAACGCUGGCGGCGUGCCUAAUACAUGCAAGUCGAGCGAAUGGAUUAAGAGCUUGCUCUUAUGGAGUUAGCGGCGGACGGGUGAGUAACACGUGGGUAACCUGCCCAUAAGACUGGGAUAACUCCGGGAAACCGGGGCUAAUACCGGAUAACAUUUUGCACUGCAUGGUGCGAAAUUGAAAGGCGGCUUCGGCUGUCACUUAUGGAUGGACCCGCGUCGCAUUAGCUAGUUGGUGAGGUAACGGCUCACCAAGGCAACGAUGCGUAGCCGACCUGAGAGGGUGAUCGGCCACACUGGGACUGAGACACGGCCCAGACUCCUACGGGAGGCAGCAGUAGGGAAUCUUCCGCAAUGGACGAAAGUCUGACGGAGCAACGCCGCGUGAGUGAUGAAGGCUUUCGGGUCGUAAAACUCUGUUGUUAGGGAAGAACAAGUGCUAGUUGAAUAAGCUGGCACCUUGACGGUACCUAACCAGAAAGCCACGGCUAACUAUGUGCCAGCAGCCGCGGUAAUACGUAGGUGGCAAGCGUUAUCCGGAAUUAUUGGGCGUAAAGCGCGCGCAGGUGGUUUCUUAAGUCUGAUGUGAAAGCCCACGGCUCAACCGUGGAGGGUCAUUGGAAACUGGGAGACUUGAGUGCAGAAGAGGAAAGUGGAAUUCCAUGUGUAGCGGUGAAAUGCGUAGAGAUGUGGAGGAACACCAGUGGCGAAGGCGACUUUCUGGUCUGUAACUGACACUGAGGCGCGAAAGCGUGGGGAGCAAACAGGAUUAGAUACCCUAGUAGUCC